rnacentral:lncRNA from 1 species
UCAUCUAUAUUUAUCUGUACCAAACGGAGCAGGGCAAGCAAGAGGGACGAGGAUGGAGAGCUGUCAGAAGCCAGGCCUAGGCGAAGAUGGGGUUUUCAGCUCCUGAUAAUCACGGCGGGCACGGAGGCUGAGAUUGUCUUCAGGAGGAGGAGAUGGACAUUUCGGCUUCCGAUACGCACGGGGGUGGAGAAGGAGAAGAUGAGGAAGCGAUGA